rnacentral:rRNA from 1 species
GGCUACACACGUGCUACAAUGGGUAGAACAGAGAGUCGCAAAGCUGUGAAGUGGAGCUAAUCUCAGAAAACUAUUCUUAGUUCGGAUUGUACUCUGCAACUCGAGUACAUGAAGUUGGAAUCGCUAGUAAUCGCGAAUCAGCAAUGUCGCGGUGAAUACUUUCUCGGGUCUUGUACACACCGCCCGUCACACCACGAGAGUUGGUUGCACCUGAAGUAGCAGGCCUAACCGUAAGGAGGGAUGCUCCGAGGGUGUGAUUAGCGAUUGGGGUGAAGUCGUAACAAGGUAUCCGUACGGGAACGU